UGAGGGGGUGGCAUGUCCUAGCGGAUGGGGGGAGCUUGCUCCUUGAUUCAUUUCUGGCGGACGGGUGAGUAAUGCCUAGGAAUCUGCCUGGUAGUGGGGGACAACGUUUCGAAAGGAACGCUAAUACCGCAUACGUCCUACGGGAGAAAGCAGGGGACCUUCGGGCCUUGCGCUAUCAGAUGAGCCUAGGUCGGAUUAGCUAGUUGGUGAGGUAAUGGCUCACCAAGGCGACGAUCCGUAACUGGUCUGAGAGGAUGAUCAGUCACACUGGAACUGAGACACGGUCCAGACUCCUACGGGAGGCAGCAGUGGGGAAUAUUGGACAAUGGGCGAAAGCCUGAUCCAGCCAUGCCGCGUGUGUGAAGAAGGUCUUCGGAUUGUAAAGCACUUUAAGUUGGGAGGAAGGGCAGUAAGUUAAUACCUUGCUGUUUUGACGUUACCGACAGAAUAAGCACCGGCUAACUCUGUGCCAGCAGCCGCGGUAUACAAGGGUGCAAGCGUUAAUCGGAAUUCUUGGGCGUAAGCGGGUAGGUGGUUCGUUAAUUGGAUGGAAAACCCCGGGGUCAACUGGAACCUCAUCCAAAAUGGGACUAAAAACGGGAAAAGGGGGGGGAAAUUCCCG
rnacentral:rRNA from 1 species